rnacentral:rRNA from 1 species
GUGAAGGAGGGGCCGGUAGCGGGGGGAAAGCGUGUGGGGCAGGCGUGUGCCGGAAUUAUUGGGCGGAAAGGGCUCGGUGGCGGUUGGUUACGGCGGCUGUUAAAACCCGGGGCUGAACCCUGGGCUUGCGGGGGAUACGGGCAGACUAGAGGCAGGUAGGGGAGAAUGGAAUUCCCGGUGUAGCGGUGAAAUGCGCAGAUAUCGGGAGGAACACCGGUGGCGAAGGCGGUUCUCUGGGCCUGACCUGACGCUGAGGAGCGAAAGCGUGGGGAGCGAACAGGAUUGGAUACCCUGGUAGUC